rnacentral:sRNA from 1 species
ACUCCUGACCUCAAGUGAUCCGACCGCUUCAGCCUUCCAAAGUGCUGGGAUUACAGGUGUGAGCCACCACACCUGGCCUCAAACAUCCUUCUUUACUAAUCAAACUGUACCUGCUCUUUGAGGAAACAGGCUGUGCCCCAGCUUCGGGCAGCAGAGGUGGAGAUCAAAGAUCUGCAGUCCGAGUUUCAGCUGGAGAAGAUUGAUUACUUGGCCACCAUCCGCCGGCAGGAGCGUGACUCCAUGCUCUUGCAGCAGCUCCUGGAGCAGGUGCAGCCCCUGAUUCGCAGGGACUGUAACUACAGCAACCUGGAGAAGAUUCGGC